CUGCUGAAACCCUUAUACAUGCUUUUAUCACAUCCAGAAUCGACUAUUGCAAUAGCAUCCUCUAUGGUUUACCUUCCAAAAUACUCAAUAAACUACAGUAUAUACAAAACUCUGCUGCCCGUCUCCUCACCCACACCCGCACUCAAGAACACAUCACCCCCAUCCUACAAAACCUCCACUGGCUCCCCAUCACUCAACGCAUUCACUUCAAAAUCCUCCUGAUCACUUUCAAAGCCCUCCAUAACCUGGCCCCCACAUAUCUCACUGACCUCCUCCACCGCCACACUCCAUCGCGCUCUCUCCGCUCCUCCGACACAAACCUUUUGUCCUUUCCCUGUAGGACCAGGCUCCGAACCUGGGGAGACAGAGCCUUCUCCAUCGCUGCCCCUACCCUCUGGAACUCACUGCCCCAACCACUCCGUGCUUGCCCCGACCUCCCCUCCUUCAAGAAAGAACUCAAAACCCAUCUGUUUAAGUUAGCUUUUAAUGAGGAGUUCUGAUUUGAUUACUUCACUGACUUU